ACACUCUCCAGCUACUCGUGCUCUCCUCAGGCCAGGGGGAACUGCAGCUAUUUCACAGGCAGCACCAUCCACUGGGUUUUCUCAAAUACUCUGCAGGGCCUGGCCUGACCAAGAUCAGUCGAGCAGGGAGAAGAAAAAAAAAAAAGAAAAGGUAGAUAAAGAAGUGGUCAGAAGACAUUUUAUCAACCCAAAUCACAGGUGAUUUUCAGUGGAGUCUUGGGAAAUAAAGUCUGGCACGAGUCAGCAGCCCCUGGAAGAGGAGUGGAGAUGAUUUUCCUCCUGGCAACUCCAGUCACCUUGGGAAUUUCCUCUGCUCUCAGCACUCAGCACUAGAUGGCAUCCAAGGUGGGGUGUGUGAUACAGAGAACAACAGCUUCUCAGCCACCAAGGUGCUGUCUGAGUCUGGAAAACGUGAGCAAGAAUGGGUCAAGAAAUAGAAAAAAACGUGUGGAGUGUUCAUAAAAGGACAAGGAGCUGCUGGAGUGAGUCCAGCCACAAAGAUCAUCUGAGGGCUGCAGAACCCUGGGAGAGCUGUGGGUGUCCAGCACAGAGAUGGCUCCAAACAGACCUUAAAACCCCUUCCAGUGCCUAAAGGGGAUCCAAGAGAGCUGGAGAGGGACCUGGGACAAGGACAUCGAGAGGACAAGGGGCAAUGGCUUCACACUGAAAGAAGGCAGGGGUAGAUUGGCUAUUAGGAAGAAAUUCUUCCCUGUGAGGGUGGGGAGGCCCUGGCACAGGUUCCCAGAGUAGCUGUGGCUGCCCCAUCCCUGGAAGUGUCCCAGACCAGCUUGGAUAGGUCUUGGAGCAGCCUGGGAUGGUGAAAGGUGUCCCUCCCAUGUCAGGGGUUAGAACAAGGUGAUUUUUAAUGUCCCUUCCAACUCAAACCAUUCUGUGAUUCAUGUUUUCUCUUUGAGGGCCAUUAUUAGGAGCUCUUCAUCCAAGGACAGUAGAAAAGAGUAAAAUCAGGGCCAGGUUCCUUAAUGCCCAUCAUGACCUAGCAGUAUUUUUUGGGCUGCUUGUCAGGUGCCCACAGAAGCAAACACAAUCACAGAGCCACCCAGGCUGGCUGUCCCUGAGGAAACAAACCCAAAUGAAAACAGUAAAACGGUGCCUUCUCAGGCUUCUGUGAUAUGUGCUUUUGCACUUGGGUUUAUCACCCCAAAAGCAUUUUACCCCACUUUCCCAGCAGCUGAUGGCCCGAGGAUUUUCUGAAGGCAGGAGGGUGUAAAGGUGGGAGUGUGCCUGGGAAAAGGUGGGCAGGUGAGGACGGGUAAAAUGAGAGCCCAAAGUGGCUCAUUUUGAGGAGGGGGAGGUGUCUUUUUCUUUCACUUUUGAAUCCCAGUGUUUCAAAACAGUCUCGUGGUUUGGAUACAGGAUUUUGACAUUCAGUGUUUGAUGUUAGCAAUUCUGAUAAAGGAGAUAAAGGGUCUGUGGUGGAGCACAGGAGUUAUUUGUGGGCUGUUGGGCAACGACUGUCAGUGAACCUGUGUCUUUGUGUGCUUAAAGUGUAGUCCCUGACAUUUACUGCCAAUUUUAAAGGGAUUUACUCUUUGCUAUUUCAUAAUCCCUGAUUCAGAGCAAAUUUGCAGAUUUUGAAGAUCAGAAGAGACCAUUAAUGCCCUAGUCUGAGUCUCUGGAUAGCUGAAGCCACCUAAUUUCAUCUCCUCCUGUACUGAGCCAGAUACUUUGUGUUCAGCUGCACCACCAAGCAAGACAUGAAGGUGGAAAGAUCAACCACUAACCCAAUACUCAGAAAUGUGUCCCAAGAUUUGAUCGUUGUCACUAUUUAAAAUAAAGUGGGCAAUGUGCUUCUCAUUUUUUUAGUCCAUUUUAGGGUAGAAGAAUAAUUUAUGCCCAAAAAUUUGUGUAAAAGCAAUUAUUUCUUCAUCCUGUUCAAAAUAAAGGAAAAGAUAAGCUGGAUAUAUAUCCCAGAGAAUCUGCUUGGCUCCACAGGGAAAAUAACCUCCUUCUAGUGGUUUGAUGCUGCGGUCUGUAAGGCAACUUUUUGUUCAUUUGUAAAAUCAUUUGAGCUGCAGUAAGGUCAAUAUCAGAACUUGAACAGAAUUUUUU